UGCGUCCACCAGAUAUUUAGCAGUUUUUCGUGGAAAGUUGAUUAAGAUAUGAUGAAGUUUUUCGUCAUUGCUUAUUUGCAAGUAGUUGACAUCUGAUAUAAUGUCUUUAAAAUGUUCAUUUCUAAGUUCAGUAUAAAGCGAACAGUCAAGAACAAAAUGUGAUUCGUCUUCAAUGUUGUUUUCGUUACAAAAAUUACAAAUGCGUUCCUCUCGUUGUUCACCAAUGUACCUUCCAGUCUCUAUUCUUAGUGGUAGAAUUCCACACCGUAAUUGUGCUACGCACGAUCGUUGUGAUUUGCUGAGAUUCAGUUUAACGUAUGAUUCUUGUUCAACCAUAGUUUUCAGUUUAACAUACGUUCUUAGCUUGGAAACUUUAAUAACGUCCCUUUUCCACAUAGAUAGAUAGAAGUCUUGUAAUCGUAAGUCCAAUAACGACAUAUCAAUAAUUUCCUUACGUUCAAAAUGGCUGACUAAUUCAAGUUUAAUAAGAAUGUCUUUAAAAUCAAAACACCAAUUGUUCCUGCAUCGCUCAUAAUCAAAUUCGAAAGCAAGUUUUGUAAUCCGCUGAUCGUCGAACGAUAUAAGUCUAUUCCAAAGACGGGCCAUGUUAAUGUAAUGUCGGUAGUGACAAGGUAGCCAUCCGAUAUCACCAUAAAUCGCCAACAAGGGUGCAAAACGAUGUACUCCUAAGAAAUAACGUAUCGCUCUAUUUUGAAUAUUCUCCAAAGCUUGGAACUUACGGCAUCCCCAAAUUCCUGAUCCAUAGUCUAAUAUAGGCACUACACAGGCAUAAAACAGUUUUUCGUAUGAUUUAAUUCCGAACUCUUUAAACUGGUGAAUACUUGAUAUUAUUUUCCCCAAUGCUCGUCCUGAUCCCUUUGAUAAUGCUUCGGUAUGCGUUGAGAAGUUUCCAUUAUAAGUAAACACGACUCCUAAAUACUUGUAUUCAUUAACAUUUUCAAGUUUAUUUUGACCAACGCUGAAUUCAAAGUUUGUAGGUUUAGCUCUAGAUUUUCUAAAAUGGACGCAUUUCGAUUUAUUUGUGUUUAUCAAAACUCUCCAUCGUUUGCACCAGUCCUGAAGUUUGUCUAACAUUUGUUGUAAGUCCUUUUCAUUUUUUGCCAAAAGCGCAAUAUCGUCAGCAUAAAGCAAUAUAGAGAGAUUGCUGUCUUUUAAUCCGAUUCCAAGAUUCAUAUCGUUUAACUCCAUCACCAGGUCAUUAACAAAUAUCGAAAACAAUGUCGGCGAUAAAUUGUCCCCUUGUUUUACACCCGUUUCGCAACAGAACCAGUCGG
rnacentral:lncRNA from 1 species